GGGGAGGUAGAGGAGAUAGAAAGAUGAGGAGGAGGAGGAGGAGACAGAAGGAGGAGGAGAUAGAAGAAGAUGAACAAAUCCCGUUUAUAUUUUUUUAAAUAAUUUUUAUAAUUGAUAUGUUUUGCCCCUGAAAUAUCGCUGAGGAAACCCCUGGUGCUCGUUGGCUGAUGACAUCACAGCAGCCACUUCCUAAUAUUUCAGGGUUUUAAGUCUUCAAACAGACGUAAACACGGAGGCGUCGUCAAGGCGAAAACCCGCGACCAGGAAGUAAAAAUUUAAGUUCCAGUAACUCAAGACGCCAGAAGACGAGACGCAGGAGUGUAGGCGUGAGAAACCGAGUUUACCCAAGCGAGAGAAAAGGGGAAGUCGGGGGUAAACGAGCGCCGUGCAGCCGUGAGUCAUUGUUUCACAGCAGCUUGGACGGCUCCAUGUUGGGAAAUAACACUUAACAGGACGUCAAAAAACAUGGGAAGGACGAUGGAGCUGCAGGUCGGACCAAGUCCUCUGAUCAAUAAUAAUCCAGGUUGAGAUGAUAAGGACCUGGUUGCACGUUAAAUCCUCGGCCCAUCUGUCCGUUAGCCGGCGGAUAAAGACGGAGACGUGCGUCUAAAUCAUUCGCUCUGAGCCACUCGGACUAUUGUUCGAUAACGUGGGGGUUUGAUUUCAGAACUAAUCUCACGAAGCUGCUGCUGGAUUUAUUCUGGGCUCCUCGGUUACAACUUCCAGACUUUUGUUUUUUCAUUCAACCAAAUUAUUUAUUACAAUAACACAAAUAAACGCAAACCCCAGACUCGUCAACAUAUCGUAGUUCCUGAUCUUCUGAAGAACUCGUUUACAAUGUUAUGUGUUUCUACAAGUUGUGGCGUCUUUUGUCUUUUCAUCAAUAGAUUUUCAAUGUACUGAUGUACUUUUAAUGCAUGUAGCCUCCAGCGUUCCCAAUGUAAACUGGCUUCACUAAAUAUAACUUUUUUUUAAAAUUUCUUCUAUAUUUUCUUUUUUGGUUUAAUGUAAUAAACAUAUACUUUGUACCUUAUAAAUGCAUAUUAAUGAAAGUAUGUUGUGACAUGUAAUGUGGUGUAAUAUAAGGUGUGGAUGAGCCAGAUGCUGCAGCUUUCAGCUGAUGAGGAUCCUUCAAAUUAUCACCAGCCUUAGAUAAUUUAUUUAAGUUCUGUCCUUUUACAAAACCUCACACAGGGACAACACUUCCAUCUAAAACCCAAUUAGGUAAAAUUCAGGGCGGAAAACAAAGCCACUGUGUUUAGGUUUGAGCUGACUGAUGAAUAUGUGUAACUUUUUUGUUUUAAACCAGCAAUAAAUACAGAGUGAAAUCUACGUUAUUAAAAAGUAAACGUAAAGGCAGGAAAACAAACAAAAAGUUGAUCUGCUAUAAAUUAUACACUUUCAUUCGAUAUCUAUAUGUUUUUUGUGCUUCGUCACAGAAUUAAAUAAAAUCUGACAAAAUCCGGUUUUC